AGUUUCAGCACCAAUAAUCGUUUUACUGUCGUUCGACCAUAAAGAUUUACCAGGUCGUCCCUGCCCUAAUUGCCCAUCCCUCAAUGGUGGGAGAAAUGAAAAUCCCCCAUCUCUAUGAUCUUUCACUUGGGAAGAUGCAACUUUGUCAUUCCCAGCCACAUAUGUAUUGGAAUCUUGUUUACUGAUUCUCUUUUUGUCCUUGUUAUGUCUAUCUACAUAUUUCUUGUCUGAUUCAUGAUGAGAGGGUCUCGAUCCACCAAUUCCAGCAUCAUGCUCAUGAAAGUACUCUAUAUCCCCUUCACUACUGCCUCCAACCAAACUUUCCCGUACUUCACUGCCAAAAUCAGCAGCAUCACUGUUCAUACCCACACCAAUUGAUCUAACUGAACCAUGUUGAUAAUCAUCAACACAAGUAUCAUCCAUCCAUGGUUUUCCACAGUCAUUCAUGGCCUUUUCAUCCCCUAGCAUGAUGAGCUCAUUUGUCUGAGGGACAAAUCCUUGCCAGACAGGUUCUG
rnacentral:misc_RNA from 1 species